rnacentral:rRNA from 1 species
UACGGAGGGGGCUAGCGUUGUUCGGAAUUACUGGGCGUAAAGCGUACGUAGGCGGUGACUCAAGUCAGAGGUGAAAGCCCGGGGCUCAACUCCGGAAUUGCCUUUGAAACUAGGUCGCUUGAACGUCGGAGAGGUGAGUGGAAUUCCGAGUGUAGAGGUGAAAUUCGUAGAUAUUCGGAAGAACACCAGUGGCGAAGGCGGCUCACUGGACGACUGUUGACGCUGAGGUACGAAAGCGUGGGGAGCAAACAGG